CUGAGCUGAAUUCACUUUGGCCUUAUGGUGUACUAGCAUGGAGGCUCCUACUACUACUACAAGCUGAAAUUACUUAAGAGCUGAAAUCACUGAGCACUGUGUUAAGUAGGGGGGAGGCUGAAGAUAUAUUGUGGAGCAGUUCAUGGAGUGGCUUGUGGAUCAGCUGGUGGAGCAGUUUGUGGGACUGCAAGUGAUGCAUUUGCAUUUGCUUUGAUAAGAGGGAACCCCUGGGUACUGAACCCAGUCUUUGCUGCUAUCAACUCAGCCUGACAGAAGGGUUACAAAUGUAAACUACUAAAAUAAAGGGUGAAAGUUUAAACAUUUUUUGACAAGGGAGAGAAUGCAAAAGAGACCUGGCUGGGAAGGGCUCUCUUCCUCUUCCUCAUCUCCUUGGCUUCUUCCAUGGCAGCAUGCGGAGAAGAUGCCUUCACCUGCCAGGGGGACCUAUUUGUGAGGACACCCCUUCAAGACUAGGCCCUGUCAUCCUCCCUGCCUUGAAGAUGUGGGAUAUGCUCCCUUUUACCCACUGCAAUCACAGCCAUAUCCACCUGAGGGGGAGCAGUGGGAGAUGGAGCACCGCAUCAUGUGUGAACUGUAGUUGGAAAUGUCUGAGGGCUGCACAUAUUUUCUUCCUUCAGUUACAGCUGCCUGCAGCUGUAGAUACACCUUGCAACCCAAAUGGCACAGCUGUGUUCUCUGAUGUCUUUGCCCCUUGCAGGGAGGUUACAAUAAACCAUAGGCCUCACACUAUGA